GGACGGAACCUAGAACUUUACGCGUGCUAGACAAAGGCUCCAUCUCUGAUCUACGUUCCUAGUCCCUUUUUUUUUUUUUUUUGAGACAAGAGCGAGAUAACCAAGCAGGCCUUGAACUCACCUUGUAGCCUAAGCAGGCUUGUAGUCUAACCUGUGAUCCUCCUACCUCAGCCUCCAAGCAGCUGGACUGACAGGUCUGCACCACCACGUCCAGCAGGACUAGAAAUAUCGGGACAGAGGGAUGAACAGAUGAGUAACAGCACUGUGUUACCUCUAGGUGGAGUGAGUUGUUUCAGGUUGUUCUUUGGUCAGAGUGUGUCUGUCCUUGGACACUGAAGGGAGUCUUUUCAACUUGUACUGGAGAACUUGUGUCAGCAAAGCAGCACGAGGAGAGCCCAGCAUGAGUGGAUCUGUACAGGAUCAGUGAAAUCUUCUGAGGGCCUUCUUCCUAUUUUAUCUUUUAAAAAAAGUCUUCAAAUCAUAGGACACGGUGUCCUACAUGUGUCAUCCCAGCUAUUUGAGAGGUUGAGACAGGAGAAUCACUUGAGACUAUCAAGUUGAAGCUCAUAGAACUUUAGGUAAUGAACUGGGAGGGAAGGAUCAGCUAUGAGAAGUUCAGAGCUUGAUAGUUUCUUCCUCCAUAAAAAGGCUGCUCUGCCUCCCUGCUGCUGGGAUUACACGUAUGAACCACUGUGUUCAGCAAGAAAGGUACUUUUGGUACCAAGGUUUGAACUCUGGCCAUCAGGCUUGGCAGCAAUGCCUUUACUCACUGAGACAUCUUGCUGGCCCUGGAUAUUUCAUGUUUUUACAUGAAAGUAUGUGAACAUACUUUAACUUUCCCCCUUUUUUUUUUU